GAUGAACGCUGGCGGCGUGCCUAACACAUGCAAGUCGAGCGGAGCGCGGCGCUUCGAAUUCUUCGGAAGGAAGAGCAUCGCGUCUUAGCGGCGGACGGGUGAGUAACGCGUGGGCAACCUGCCUCAUACAGGGGGAUAACAGCCAGAAAUGGCUGCUAAUACCGCAUAAGGCCACAGCACCGCAUGGUGCAGCGGCAAAAACUCCGGUGGUAUGAGAUGGGCCCGCGUCUGAUUAGCUAGUUGGCAGGGUAACGGCCUACCAAGGCGACGAUCAGUAGCCGGCCUGAGAGGGUGGACGGCCACAUUGGGACUGAGACACGGCCCAA
rnacentral:rRNA from 1 species